rnacentral:rRNA from 1 species
AGUGAACGCUGGCGGUAGGCCUAACACAUGCAAGUCGAACGGCAGCACAGUAAGAGCUUGCUCUUACGGGUGGCGAGUGGCGGACGGGUGAGGAAUACAUCGGAAUCUACUUUUUCGUGGGGGAUAACGUAGGGAAACUUACGCUAAUACCGCAUACGACCUACGGGUGAAAGCAGGGGAUCUUCGGACCUUGCGCGAUUGAAUGAGCCGAUGUCGGAUUAGCUAGUUGGCGGGGUAAAGGCCCACCAAGGCGACGAUCCGUAGCUGGUCUGAGAGGAUGAUCAGCCACACUGGAACUGAGACACGGUCCAGACUCCUACGGGAGGCAGCAGUGGAGAAUAUUGGACAAUGGGCGCAAGCCUGAUCCAGCCAUACCGCGUGGGUGAAGAAGGCCUUCGGGUUGUAAAGCCCUUUUGUUGGGAAAGAAAAGCAGCAGGUUAAUACCCCGCUGUUCUGACGGUACCCAAAGAAUAAGCAGCGGCUAACUUCGUG